rnacentral:rRNA from 1 species
GACGAACGCUGGCGGCGUGCCUAAUACAUGCAAGUCGAGCGCAGGAAAUCAUCCGAACCUUUCGGGGGGACGUUGAUGGAAUGAGCGGCGGACGGGUGAGUAACACGUAAAGAACCUGCCCUCAGGUCUGGGAUAACCACGAGAAAUCGGGGCUAAUACCGGAUGGGUCAUCGGACCGCAUGGUCCGAGGAUGAAAGGCGCUUCGGCGUCGCCUGGGGAUGGCUUUGCGGUGCAUUAGCUAGUUGGUGGGGUAAUGGCCCACCAAGGCGACGAUGCAUAGCCGACCUGAGAGGGUGAUCGGCCACACUGGGACUGAGACACGGCCCAGACUCCUACGGGAGGCAGCAGUAGGGAAUCUUCCACAAUGGACGAAAGUCUGAUGGAGCAACGCCGCGUGAACGAUGAAGGCCUUCGGGUCGUAAAGUUCUGUUGUAAGGGAAGAACAAGUGCCGCAGGCAAUGGCGGCACCUUGACGGUACCUUGCGAGAAAGCCACGGCUAACUACGUGCCAGCCGCCGCCGUAA